CCUACGGGAGGCAGCAGUGAGGAAUAUUGGUCAAUGGACGCAAGUCUGAACCAGCCAUGCCGCGUGCAGGAAGACGGCUCUAUGAGUUGUAAACUGCUUUUGUACGAGGGUAAACGCAGAUACGCGUAUCUGUCUGAAAGUAUCGUACGAAUAAGGAUCGGCUAACUCCGUGCCAGUAGCAGCGGUAAUACGGAGGAUUCAAGCGUUAUCCGGCUUUAUUGGGUUUAAAGGGUGCGUAGGCGGUCGGAUAAGUUAGAGGUGAAAUCCCGAGGCUCAACUUCGGAAUUGCCUCUGAUACUGUCCGGCUAGGGAGUAGUUGCGGUAGGCGGAAUGUAUGGUGUAGCGGUGAAAUGCGUAGAUAUCAUACAGAACACCGAUUGCGAAGGCAGCUUACCAAGCUACUUCUGACGUUGAGGCACGAAAGCGUGGGGAGCAAACAGGAUUAGAUACCCGGGUAGUC
rnacentral:rRNA from 1 species